UUACCCACACAUGGGAUCAAUAGGAUACCAUAACGAUGAAGGUCGUAGUAGAAUACGAAAGUAUACUUACCGAAUUUAUAUUCUAGUAUAGAUUACCCUUUGAACUUAAGCAUAUCAUUA
rnacentral:rRNA from 1 species